ACGGCGAGUGAAGCGGCAACAGCUCAAAUUUGAAAUCUGGCCUCGGCCCGAGUUGUAAUUUGCAGAGGAUGCUUUUGGCGCGGUGCCUACUGAGUUCCCUGGAACGGGACGCCACAGAGGGUGAGAGCCCCGUAUAGUUGGACACCAAGCCUGUGUAAAGCUCCUUCGACGAGUCGAGUAGUUUGGGAAUGCUGCUCUAAAUGGGAGGUAAAUCUCUUCUAAAGCUAAAUACCGGCCAGAGACCGAUAGCGCACAAGUAGAGUGAUCGAAAGAUGAAAAGCACCUUGAAAAGGGGGUUAAACAGUACGUGAAAUUGUUGAAAGGGAAGCGCUUGUGACCAGACUUGCGCCGGGCGGCUCAUCAGGCGUUCUCGCCUGUGCACUCCGCCCGGCUCAGGCCAGCAUCGGCUCUCGCGGGGGGAUAAGAGCGGUGGGAACGUAGCUCCCUACGGGGAGUGUUAUAGCCCGCCGCACGAUACCCCCGCGGGGGCCGAGGACCGCGCUUCGGCAAGGAUGCUGGCGUAAUGGUCAUCAGCGACCCGUCUUGAAACACGGACCAAGGAGUCGUCCAUUAGAGCGAGCGUUUGGGUGUAAAACCCGCACGCGUAAUGAAAGUGAACAGAGGUGAGAGCUUCGGCGCAUCAUCGACCGAUCCUGAUGUUCUCGGAUGGAUUUGAGUAAGAGUUCUAACGGACGGACCCGAAAGACAGUGAACUAUGCUUGUAUAGGGUGAAGCCAGAGGAAACUCUGGUGGAGGCUCGCAGCGGUUCUGACGUGCAAAUCGAUCGUCAAAUAUGAGCA
rnacentral:rRNA from 1 species